AUCAUAAAAUUGACUGAAUUAUUUCUCCUUUUUUAGGGGAGAAGAAUAUGUAAGUCCGUCUUUCUCACCUUGAGAACUUCAGCAUUGAGCCAUCAUGUUGUGCCACAGGAUAAUUUGUGAGCUUGCAGUACUAUGACCUACAACAGUGUGAAGAUGUGCUUUCUGGCUUAAGUCAGCACAGAAGGAUAUACAAACUCCCACUGCCUAUUCACAUUACCUCUAACCUCAGAUGAUGCCAAUGAUAAUUACAAUUCAUUAUUAACUACCUGUAUGACUGAUGUGCUAGGAGGUACUUCUGAUUCUGAGGCUCAGGAGAGGCAAAGUGAAUCCCACUAAAGGGAAG
rnacentral:lncRNA from 1 species